CUUCGUCCCUGUCCUCCCCUCCCUCCUCCUUCAUCACCCCCUCACGCUGCUUUUGUCCCACCACCACCUCCACUGAACCUACCCCACCACAAGCACCACCACAGUGCCCCAGUCUCCCCCCCCUUACACACCUUCCCCCACCACUGUCACCAUGCAACCCCCCAACCAAUGACCUCUGUACACUUCUCCCCUAAACUUCCCACUUCCCUCCAUCACUUCCCUCCACCGUAGUCACUACCAGCUCUCCAAGACGCCCUCUAGCUUCUUACUUAACCCCCCCCCUUCUCAUGACUCCACAUCCUCACUCCACCACCCCCACCACCACCACCACCACCCACAGUCCCCGGCGCUCAGAUCGGCAGCAACACGCCCCACCAGCUUCACUCGAGCAGCCUCAUUCUCUUGUCCAACGAGAUGCAUUACAAGUUUAAUCCCUUCACGGGGCGUCUUAGCACUCCCUCCACGGUCGAGGUCCGCAAUAAAUACGCUCAGUAUGGCGAGGCGCCCACUCAAGUGUUCAUCCUCAACACCAAGCUCUCCGGCACGGACCAUCCGACCUACAGGGGCAAGUACGCGCCCUUGUCGCAGGCCCUGAAGAACAAGAUGAGGCUCUUCCAGGCAGCAAACGGCCUCCCAGUUCACAUCAAGGCGGGCCGGUGGACAAGGUACUCUUCGCCAUCACCGCCGGCGUGUGUCUGGUGGGCCUCGUGGACUGCUUCAAGGUCUACUACGAGCUCGCCUACCCCGCCCCGCCGUCCUCCGAGUAACAACACUGCAGCUUCGGACGCACCACACGAUGAAUCAUUAAAGCAGCGGCGAGAUUUUCAGUUCAUGCACGUUUAAUGAAGAUGAUUAUUUCAGAUUUAGAAUGAGCAAAAUGUCUGUGUGUGUGUGUGUGUGUGUGUGUGUGUGUGUGUGUGUGUGUGUGUGUGUGUGUGUGUGUGUGUGUGUGUGUGUGUGUGUGUGUGUGUGUGUGUGUGUGUGUGUGUGUGUGUGUGUGUGUGUGUGUGUGUGUGUGUGUGUUUAGUCAAAUAGAUUCUCUAAAAAGUAACUAUCAUUUUCAUUUUUUUUUUCAUUUAUAUAUUCAUCUAUUUGUUAUUUUCACCGGUAGUAACACCAUUUGAAUUUGCUCCCUUACAUCAUCUCUUUCUCGGUACUUGUUUAACUGAGAAAGUCAGGAAGGCACAGUGAAACAAACAUAAGCUGCAACAAACACGUCGUAAGUUUAACCUCUUCACAUUUUCUCUGGCAGUGAAUCACGUAACUAUUUCUCCUUUGCAUCACGUAUUUUUUUUUUCUUUUUUUCUUUUUUUUGUCGCUGCUUUUAAUGAGAGAAAGAAAGAGAGAGAGAGAGAGAGAGAAAACCAAGUAUAAAGCCAAACUACACAGCAAGCGCCGAUAGACUUCACCCUUAGAUCUCUCUUUAUCAUUUUAUUAUCAUAGUGUGUGUGUGUGUGUGUGUGUGUGUGUGUGUGUGUGUGUGUGUGUGUGUGUGUGUGUGUGUGUGUGUGUGUGUGUGUGUGUGUGUAUGAAUGCCGUACUAAUUUCAUUCAUGCAUCGCUGGAAAGAAAACGAUAUAAAGACAACAUAAACGGCGAAGCUUACAUGUUAAAAAAAAAAAAAAAAUAGAUAAAUAAAUAGUUAAAUAAAUGAAA